CGGAGGGUGCAAGCGUUAUCCGGAUUUACUGGGUUUAAAGGGUGCGCAGGCGGAUAUGUAAGUCAGUGGUGAAAUCUCUAGGCUUAACCUGGAAAUUGCCGUUGAUACUAUAUAUCUUGAAUGCUGUGGAGGUAAGCGGAAUAUGUCAUGUAGCGGUGAAAUGCUUAGAUAUGACAUAGAACACCUAUUGCGAAGGCAGCUUACUACGCAGAUAUUGACGCUCAUGCACGAAAGCGUGGGGAUCAAACAGGAUUAGAUACCCUGGUAGUCCACGCCCUAAACGAUGAUUACUCGACAUACGCGAUACACAGUGUGUGUCUGAGCGAAAGCAUUAAGUAAUCCACCUGGGAAGUACGAUCGCAAGAUUG
rnacentral:rRNA from 1 species